rfam:Corchorus olitorius cultivar O-4 contig18011, whole genome shotgun sequence.
UAGUAACUAUGAUAUUGGCCUGGUUCACUCAGACAUGAAACCAAAAGCAUUUUCUGCUCUGAUUGAGCCGUGCCAAUAUCUUACUACUCUUU